rnacentral:rRNA from 1 species
UCAGGACGAACGGCUGGCGGCAUGCCUAACACAUGCAAGUCGAACGGACGAGGGUAGCAAUACCCGAGUAGUGGCGAACGGGUGAGUAACACGUGAGCAACCUGCCCUUUACACUGGGAUAGCAGUUGGAAACGACUGAUAAUACCGGAUAAGACCACGCUCCCGCAUGGGAGAGGGGUCAAAGUGAAUUAGCGGUAAAGGAUGGGCUCGCGUCCAAUUAGCUAGUUGGUGAGGUAACGGCCCACCAAGGCGACGAUUGGUAGCCGACUUGAGAGAGUGAUCGGCCACACUGGAACUGAGACACGGUCCAGACUCCUACGGGAGGCAGCAGUGGGGAAUAUUGGGCAAUGGAGGAAACUCUUACCCAGCCAAUGCCGCGUGAGGGAUGGAGGUCCUAUGGAUUGUAAACCUCUUUGAUUAGGGACAAAGAAAGUGAUGGUACCUAAAGAACAAGCCCCGGCUAACUAUGUGCCAGCAGCUGC